UGCCCACUUCACUGGAAUUCUGUAGAAGGGAUUUAUGCCCGUGAAGGGUUCAGGAAAGAUUGCUCAAGAAGUCUCAUCCAGCUCAGAGAUUCUGUGAUUUGGAAGGGUGAUAUGUACACAGCAAGGCUGAUACAGGAACUACACCUAGCAUCAUGGUUGAUGGCAACACUAAUGAGACAGAGCAAGGAUUGGAUAAGCAGCUAGGAGACACAGUGAAUGGACCACUGGUCCCGGAGUCAGGAAGACUUGUUCAAAUGUGGCCUCAGACUCUUACUAGCUGUGUGAAGCCUGGGCUUCAAUUGCACACUGCCAAAGAGUAAUCUGUGGAUUCAGUGCAUCUUGCCCACCAGAGACAUACUGUAGGAUCUCAGGAGAUAUAAAAACCUAUUCAUGAUCUAGGAGGAAUUUUGGAGGCAGCCUUCUCCUUGACAUGUGACCUGCUAAGCUCUAUCAUUCAGAUGGCUCUUUAGGAGGAGAGAGGAAGUGCUACAUUGGGAAAUAUGAAAUGAUUUUUCUUAUUAACAAUGAAGAGGACGGUGUAUAGAGAACUGGUCUCAAAGCCUUGAAGACCUAAGUUCAAGCCCCAGCUCUGACACAUCCUGGC